GGCAGGCCUAACACAUGCAAGUCGAACGGAUCCUUCGGGAUUAGUGGCGGACGGGUGAGUAACACGUGGGAACGUGCCCUUUGGUUCGGAACAACUCAGGGAAACUUGAGCUAAUACCGGAUGNNCCUUCGGGGGAAAGAUUUAUCGCCAUUGGAGCGGCCCGCGUCUGAUUAGCUAGUUGGUGAGGUAAAGGCUCACCAAGGCUACGAUCAGUAGCUGGUCUGAGAGGAUGAUCAGCCACAUUGGGACUGAGACACGGCCCAAACUCCUACGGGAGGCAGCAGUGGGGAAUCUUGCGCAAUGGGCGAAAGCCUGACGCAGCCAUGCCGCGUGAAUGAUGAAGGUCUUAGGAUUGUAAAAUUCUUUCACCGGGGACGAUA
rnacentral:rRNA from 1 species